GAAAUGCGAUAAGUAGUGUGAAUUGCAGAAUUCAGUGAAUCACCGAAUCUUUGAACGCACAUUGCGCCCUUUGGUAUUCCUUAGGGCAUGCCUGUUCGAGCGUCAUCUAAACCUUCAAGCCCUGCUUGGUGUUGGGUGCCUGUCCCGCCUCCGCGCGCGGACUCACCUCAAAUCCAUUGGCGGCCCCCGCGUCGGCCACGAGCGCAGCAGAAACGCGAACUCGUGAGCCCGUCCGGGCGGCUCCCAGAAGCUACACCCACCCAGUUUGACCUCGGAUCAGGUAGGGAUACCCGCUGAACUUAAGC
rnacentral:misc_RNA from 1 species